GGCCUCUUGGUCUAGUGGUAUGAUUCUCGCUUUGGGUCUGUCCUCAUCUCAGCAUGCGAGAGGCCCCGGGUUCGAAUCCCGGAGAGGCCC
rnacentral:tRNA from 1 species